UCACUGACUUAACGAAUGUGUAGCAUUGAUUCUCUCUCACUCGACGUCGCCGUUCCCAGCCUGCAGUCGCAUACUCUCAAGGUGGUUGUGGUGUAUUUAAUUCAACAUUGAAAAUGUCGGAUGAGGGUAAAUUGUUCGUUGGAGGGCUGAGUUACGACACUGACGAGGACUCUCUCAACGAUACCUUCAGCAAAUAUGGAGCCAUCGAUAAAGUGGAUGUGAUCAGAGACCGAGAGACGGGGAGAUCACGCGGAUUUGGCUUUGUGAAGUACUCCAACCCCGACGACGCAAAAGACGCCAUCUUAGGCAUGAAUGGCAAGAAUCUAGAUGGUCGCACUAUUCGUGUGGAUGAAGCAGGAAAGAGUGGACCCAGGAAAGGUUUCGGUACAGGCUCACGUGGUGGUGGAGGUGGUGGUGGCAGUUAUUUUGGAGGAUCCCGGGGGAGAGGCCGUGGUUACUCACGAGACUUUGAAGGUGGUGGAGGCUACGGUGACAAGGGGUACGGCGACAGGAGUUAUGGUGACCGAAGCUUUGGAGGUGGAGACAGGAGCUUUGGUGGUGGCAGCAGCGGUGGCGGAGGAGGAUACAGGAGUGGAGGAUACUCCAAUAGCUACAGAGAAAAUAGGGGUGGAUACAGGUCAUCCAGAAAUGAAGGCAAUGACAGCUAUGAAUGAACAGACGGGUGUCACGUGGUCUCCACAACGCAGGUGUGCAGCUUUAAAUGGCAGCAGUAAUGCAAUCGACCAGGCACUCUGGCAUUUUACCAAUCAGCCUCAGAGCUGCCUAGUUUUCUCCAAGGGGCACCACCCACCCUUUAACACCACUUCCCUGUUUAAACCCUCCGUUCUGGCCAGUGCUCACAGAAGGAACCCGGCAAAAGAUGAAGUAAACCUCUUGGGCUCCAGAGUGCAGAGCACCAUGGUAAGGACAGCUUCAUUAAAAAUGAUAACAGGCUUUUGUUCUCUUAAUGGACCAGUUGGUUUUUUGAAAGCUAGGGUUCUAUUUACCCCCCCUACCCCAAAAGAAAAUCAACUUAUUUGAAGGGGGGCGACUGAACUGUAGGCACAAUAGACGUAUUGCAAAUAUGCAGGAUGAAACCGCAGAUGAUUUGGAUGGGGAUUAUUAUGCACCCUCCCAUGUGUCAAAUGUGACAUGAAGAAAAUAAUAAAUUAUGAGGAAAAACCGACACUGGUGAGUCGGCAAUAGUUUGAUAUUAAUAUGUACUUGCAGCGUCUACCAAGUGAUAGGAUCAGGGGCCUCAUGUAUAAAAGAGUGUGCAGCUUUCAUGCUAAAAGACGGCGUACACAUAAAAUUUGAAAAGUACGUACGCAAAGAAAAUCUCAGAUUUAUAAAACCGUGCAUACGCCUGCGCACCUUUUCUUUAUACAUCCCAUCAAAUGUGAAACUGAGCGGAGAUGAGUAACACACCACGCCCCUGUUCCACCCACAAAUGAAUAUACAAAUAACUCUGAUGCCUUCUUUCUGAAGAAAAAGGACAAAAGUGACUGCAAAGAAACAGAAAUAGAAGAAAAAGAAGGAAAGUGUGCAAUCAACGCAUCAAUUUAUGAUGUAUUAAUCUGUAAAAAUAUUUUGUUUGUUUUUAGGAAUUGGUGAUAAACUUGAAGGAACUAAAUGUCAGGGUCACAGUGACUGCUCUCAUGUUAAUAUUGAUGCUUAAAAAACUGGCAGUGCAUUGACAGUUGAUCCUGUACAUGUAUGUUUAGACAUGACUUAUCCGUGUCAGCUGAAUUUACAGAUCAUUUCAGUGCCACACAUCAUCAUCUACACACAGAAUAAGCAGAAAGCUCACAGAGUUGGUCCAUGUAACAAUUCAUUACUGUCACUGAUUGUGGGGAGGCUGUGCCUUUCCUCCCAUGAAAGGCGCAGUGGUGGUGGAAUAACUUUUUCGUAGUUAUUUUGUUAUCGUAUGGAUUAAAAUGGGAUAAUGAAAAUGUUCUACUCACCGUUCAAGUCCCAUUUCUUACAAGAAUUUAGUCUAACUUUAUUUUGGAGUGUUUAAAACAUUAUAGACUGACGUGUGUUCAUGUCAGCAGCUGCGUCUAUUUACAAUGCUGUGUUACAUGAAGAAAAUAUUCAUCUGUGGAAAAUUAAUUUCAGUAAUUUGCUCAAAGUAAGCAUGUGAGUCUCCCUCCCUCUCUCACAAAUACACACAAACAGGUUUGUAGUGUGUUUGCGCACAGGAUCAGUUUCGUCUUCAGCGUCCUCUCUCUUAUCCACAUAUGUUCAAACGUACGUGGUGUCAGUUCUGUUUGUCACAGAAUAAUUCAUGUUUGUCACUGUAGACACAUUAAUAUUUUGAAACACUGUGAUCAUUUUCAGAGCUCAAUAUUGCAGCGUCUCCACCUGACAAGAGUUUGCGUAGCUCUCUGCAAGUUGUCACGGCAGCUCGAAAGUUAGUGCUGCGAUCCGCAAACUUCCAAGCCAAGUACAUUUUUAUACAUGCCGUCUGUGUGAGAUAGCAAACGUACACCGGUUUUGUGCAUACGCACGGUUUAUACAUGAGGCCCCUGUUUGAUUCAACAAUGAAACAGCCAAAUGAUAAAGCGCUCGACUUUGCAGAAUCACAUGCUUAGUUACAGUAAUGUUGCAAAAAACAGAAUCAAGGGAGGAAGCAAUUAAAAUCACGUUACUGGAUAUUGUAAUAUGAUUGUUUUGUCCAUGUAAUUUCUCCCAUAGAUGUGCUUCUCGUAUAUUUGUGUAUAGGCAUCCAUCUAUAGGAAAGGCUAAAGGAAUAAAAUGAUACCUGUAAGUUAGUAAUUUGGUCAUUUACACCAUGGUGACUUGAUUUUUGUCCCCAUAAGGAAGACAAGUCCCCAAAAUGUGACUGUAUAAACAGAUUUAGGUCAAGGGAUACCAAGGUACACACAGGCCUCACCUCCAUCCCGGAGUGUUCCUGUCAAUUUGCUAGCAUUACUCCUUACCACCAUGUCGUCAACUCCACUUUCCUCCAAUUUAUCCUCACUCUGCCCCUCCUUGUCCCUCUUCUACAUUGAUCCAGUGUCAGUAUAGUUAAUGGUGGAAGCUCCAUUACAACCCCCUCCACACAUCUUGUAAUUGUUUUUAUAGUUUUUUUUUUCUUUAUUAAAAACUUUGGGAAACAAACACAAUCUAGCUGUCCACCACUGUUAAAUGCUUAGACUAUGUAUUCAACAACACUUGUUCUGAUUGGUAAGCUGUGAAUUUGACGGUAAAGGAAGCUCUGAAAAAAUUGACCACAAUCCGAAAAAUUACAGUCGCUGUGGACAAAUAUUUCAAAUGUGUGAAUAAUUUGCAUAAAAAACCCAUGUAAGGUUGACAUAGCUGUGACUUCUGAUGAGGUGCUUCAAGUUUACAUUUUGCUGUUGCAAUAGAUGGAUCUGAAUGACGCAUGAUCAAGCUUUCAGAGCUGAAGUGAAAGUCAUACUAAAUUCAGGGGCCUCUGUGAUGUGCACGAGCGAGUCUACUACUACUUUUAUGUCCCCCUCGUUUUAUUACCUGUGUCUUUUUCUUUUGGCUUUACCUUGUAGGGGUCACCACAGUGGAUCAUCUGCCUCCAUCUAUUUUCAGAUCUUCAAUUACUUAAAAUUCUCGUUUGCUUUCCGUGUUAAUUAAUUUGCAGCUGUCUUUUGUUUCGUUUUCUGGAGUUGCCUGUGUGCUUAGUCACAUGGGCACAGUAGUGAGAAAUGUGUUUCCCAUGUGUGCUUUCAUGAAAAAGUGUGCAUGUGAUGCAAUGUUUAUUUUACACUUGCACAUACUAUUCAAUUGAACAUCCUCAGAAAAACCUUCCAUUGAUAUAGUUGAUGAUGGAAUCACUCCUGAGUGCAGCCAUUGUCUUACAUUUUGUUUGCUUCUCCUACAGGCUGACCCCCACAGACAAACAACGAACAUGUUCACAUCUCUCACGCCUUCUCACAUUGUCACCAUUAUCUCUUGCCCUUGAACAGAAAAGUUCCACACACUUGUGGCAACCUGCUGAAGACCAAAGGCCUUUGUUAUUGUUACCUGAGCAUGUUAUUUUGUCUGUCAGUGACUCAUUGCUAUUAGCAUAAACUACACAAUAUUUUUGAAUAUUUUUCACAUUAUGCAUCGAUCUGUACAACCCCCACCCCCCAUUGUUUUAUUUUCUAUACAUACACAAUGCCUUAACCAUACAUGUGUUGAAUUGAAUCUGUGUUUUGACAUGUGUAGAGGAUGUUGCUCUAAAUACAGUUAACAGAUGUAAAUGCAAAGGAAAAUAUAUAUAUUCAAAGAAUAAAGGAAAAACAACAUGAAAA